rnacentral:rRNA from 1 species
GUUGUAUGGUUAAGUGACUAAGCGUACACGGUGGAUGCCUUGGCAGUCAGAGGCGAUGAAAGACGUAGUAACUUGCGAUAAGCCCAGAUUAGGUAGUAACAACCAUUUGAGUCUGGGAUUUCUGAAUGGGGAAACCCACGUGCAUAAGCACGUAUCCUUACCUGAAUACAUAGGGUAAGGAGGCGAACCGGGGGAACUGAAACAUCUAAGUACCCCGAGGAAAAGAAAUCAACCGAGAUUCCGAAAGUAGCGGCGAGCGAAAUUGGACUAGCCCUUAAGCUUUACACGCGUUAGACGAACGGUCUGGAAAGUCCGACGAUACAGGGUGAUAGUCCCGUAGUUGACGACGUGUGUUCAGUGAAAUCGAGUAGGGCGGGACACGUGAUAUCCUGUCUGAAUAUGGGGGGACCAUCCUCCAAGGCUAAAUACUACUGACUGACCGAUAGUGAACCAGUACCGUGAGGGAAAGGCGAAAAGAACCCCUGUGAGGGGAGUGAAAUAGAACCUGAAACCGUGUACGUACAAGCAGUAGGAGCAGGCUUUGUCCUGUGACUGCGUACCUUUUGUAUAAUGGGUCAGCGACUUAUAUUCAGUGGCAAGGUUAACCAUCUAGGGGAGCCGUAGGGAAACCGAGUCUUAACUGGGCGUUCAGUCUCUGGAUAUAGACCCGAAACCAGGUGAUCUAGCCAUGGGCAGGUUGAAGGUUGAGUAACAUCAACUGGAGGACCGAACCGACUAAUGUUGAAAAAUUAGCGGAUGACUUGUGGCUAGGGGUGAAAGGCCAAUCAAACCUGGAGAUAGCUGGUUCUCCCCGAAAGCUAUUUAGGUAGCGCCUCGGACGAAUACUACUGGGGGUAGAGCACUGUUAAGGCUAGGGGGUCAUCCCGACUUACCAACCCUUUGCAAACUCCGAAUACCAGUAAGUACUAUCCGGGAGACACACGGCGGGUGCUAACGUCCGUCGUGGAGAGGGAAACAACCCAGACCGCCAGCUAAGGUCCCAAAUUACUACUAAGUGGGAAACGAUGUGGGAAGGCUCAGACAGCCAGGAUGUUGGCUUAGAAGCAGCCAUCAUUUAAAGAAAGCGUAAUAGCUCACUGGUCGAGUCGGCCUGCGCGGAAGAUGUAACGGGGCUAAGUAGUAAACCGAAGCUGCGGCAAUGUGCUUUUGCACAUUGGGUAGGGGAGCGUUCUGUAAGCGGUUGAAGGUGUGUGGUAACGCAUGCUGGACGUAUCAGAAGUGCGAAUGCUGACAUGAGUAACGAUAAAGGGGGUGAAAAACCUCCUCGCCGGAAGACCAAGGGUUCCUGUCCAACGUUAAUCGGGGCAGGGUAAGUCGACCCCUAAGGCGAGGCCGAAAGGCGUAGUCGAUGGGAAACGGGUUAAUAUUCCCGUACUUCUUACAAUUGCGAUGGGGGGACGGAGAAGGCUAGGUGGGCCUGGCGACGGUUGUCCAGGUUCAAGUGCGUAGGCUUAAGAGUUAGGUAAAUCCGGCUCUUUUUAAGGCUGAGACACGACGUCGAGCAUCUACGGAUGUGAAGUCAUUGAUGCCAUGCUUCCAGGAAAAGCCUCUAAGCUUCAGAUUGUAAGGAAUCGUACCCCAAACCGACACAGGUGGUCGGGUAGAGAAUACCAAGGCGCUUGAGAGAACUCGGGUGAAGGAACUAGGCAAAAUGGUACCGUAACUUCGGGAGAAGGUACGCUCUCGACGGUGAAGUCCCUCGCGGAUGGAGCUAUUGAGAGUCGCAGAUACCAGGUGGCUGCAACUGUUUAUUAAAAACACAGCACUGUGCAAAAUCGUAAGAUGACGUAUACGGUGUGACGCCUGCCCGGUGCCGGAAGGUUAAUUGAUGGGGUUAGACUUCGGUCGAAGCUCUUGAUCGAAGCCCCGGUAAACGGCGGCCGUAACUAUAACGGUCCUAAGGUAGCGAAAUUCCUUGUCGGGUAAGUUCCGACCUGCACGAAUGGCGUAAUGAUGGCCACGCUGUCUCCACCCGAGACUCAGUGAAAUUGAAAUCGCUGUGAAGAUGCAGUGUACCCGCGGCUAGACGGAAAGACCCCGUGAACCUUUACUACAGCUUGGCACUGAACAUUGACCCUACAUGUGUAGGAUAGGUGGGAGGCUUUGAAGCACGUACGCCAGUAUGUGUGGAGCCGUCCUUGAAAUACCACCCUUGUAGUGUUGAUGUUCUAACGUCGACCCCUUAUCGGGGUUGCGGACAGUGCCUGGUGGGUAGUUUGACUGGGGCGGUCUCCUCCCAAAGAGUAACGGAGGAGCACGAAGGUGGGCUAAUCACGGUUGGACAUCGUGAGGUUAGUGCAAUGGCAUAAGCCCGCUUGACUGCGAGAAUGACAAUUCGAGCAGGUGCGAAAGCAGGUCAUAGUGAUCCGGUGGUUCUGAAUGGAAGGGCCAUCGCUCAACGGAUAAAAGGUACUCCGGGGAUAACAGGCUGAUACCGCCCAAGAGUUCAUAUCGACGGCGGUGUUUGGCACCUCGAUGUCGGCUCAUCACAUCCUGGGGCUGAAGUCGGUCCCAAGGGUAUGGCUGUUCGCCAUUUAAAGUGGUACGCGAGCUGGGUUUAGAACGUCGUGAGACAGUUCGGUCCCUAUCUGCCGUGGGCGUUGGAAGAUUGAAGGGGGCUGCUCCUAGUACGAGAGGACCGGAGUGGACGAACCUCUGGUGUUCGGGUUGUGUCGCCAGACGCAUUGCCCGGUAGCUAAGUUCGGAAUCGAUAACCGCUGAAAGCAUCUAAGCGGGAAGCGAGCCCUGAGAUGAGUCUUCCCUGAUACUUUAAGUAUCCUAAAGGGUUGUCGGAGACUACGACGUUGAUAGGUCAGGUGUGUAAGUGCUGUGAGGCAUUGAGCUAACUGAUACUAAUUGCCCGUGAGGCUUAACCAUACAACACCCAAGGGGUUU